AUAUACAGCAGGUUUACCCUCCCUCAGAUCAUAAACUCCUAGAUAUGCUCAAUAAACCACACAAGGAGAACCUGAAAACUGUCAGAAGCAAAUACAGCCAUAAGGUGUUCCACGAGGUGGCUACUAUCCCCCUGCCAACGACAGUGUCUAUGGAAUAGACGUAAUAACGACAAACUUGUAAAUAUUUUGACUAUUAUAGAUGAUUCAUGUUCCUCAUUCAUAACAUGCAAAUAAUUUAA